rnacentral:rRNA from 1 species
ACUUGAUCUUGAUAUCCUACGUGGAUAACUGUGGUAAUUCUAGAGCUAAUACAUGCACCAAAGCUCCGACUUUUUGACGAGCGCAUCUAUUAGAUUAAAACCAAUCGGGUCUCGGCCCGUCAAUUGGUGACUCUGAAUAACUAUGGCUGAUCGCAUGGUCUCGCACCGGCGACGUGUCUAUCAAGUGUCUGCCUUAUCAACUGUCGAUGGUAGUUUAUGUGCCUACCAUGGUUGUAACGGGUAACGGAGAAUAAGGGUUCGACUCCGGAGAGGGAGCCUGAGAAACGGCUACCACAUCCAAGGAAGGCAGCAGGCGCGCAAAUUACCCACUCUCGGCAUGAGGAGGUAGUGACGAAAAAUAACGAGACCGUUCUCUAUGAGGCCGGUUAUCGGAAUGGGUACAAUUUAAACCCGUUAACGAGGAUCUAUGAGAGGGCAAGUCUGGUGCCAGCAGCCGCGGUAAUUCCAGCUCUCAAAGUGUAUAUCGUCAUUGCUGCGGUUAAAAAGCUCGUAGUUGGAUCUGCGCCUCAGGACUCGGUCCGCCCACUGGGCGAGAACUGGGCUCCUGGGCUAGUACUGUUGGUUUUCCCUACGUUGCCUUCAUCGGUCGCGUAGGGUGGCUAGCGAGUUUACUUUGAAAAAAUUAGAGUGCUUCACGCGGGCUUAUGUCUGAAUACUCGUGCAUGGAAUAAUAGAAUAGGAUCUCGGUUCUAUUUUGUUGGUUUUCUGAUCUGAGAUAAUGGUUAAGAGGGACGGACGGGGGCAUUCGUAUCGCUGCGUGAGAGGUGAAAUUCUUGGACCGUAGCGAGACGACCGACUGCGAAAGCAUUUGCCAAGAAUGUCUUCAUUAAUCA